AUGAAUUUUAGUUUUGCAAUACCUGGAUUCCGGGCAUCAUUGCCGUUGCUUGGUGUUGUUGCUUUCACCACCUUGCCCGCAAGUUUGUGAGACACGUCACUACUUACUGGGAUCCCUCUGUGAAAAGAAGAUUCCAUGUCUGAUCUGCAUUUUGUGGAAGGAACCUGUAGGAAGAAGUUCCCCCUGGAUCCAAGCUGAUCCUGAAGGAAAAGAGAGUGUGGCAGAGGGAGGUUGCCUCACUCCCCUCUCUAUGGUGCUAUCCUGGGUUUCAGUGCUCCACAGAGUUUUUGCCAUUCCGCUGGUGCUCUUUACUUCUUCAGUCACUCUUAGUCGAAAUAUAGGUCCCUUUUUGUGGGAGGGACAAGCACUAGGUAAUCUAGUUGGCCAUCUUCCUGACCACACACUCAAGAUUAUUGACUGUCCCAUCACUUGUGGCUGGGUGCAGUGGCUCACAGCCACUUUGGGAGGCUGAGGAGGGCAGAUCACGAGGUCAGGAGACGGAGACCACCCUGGCUAACAUGGUGAAACCCCGUCUUUACUAAAAAUACAAAAAAAUUAGCUGGGCAUGGUGGCGGGCACCUGGAGUCCCAGCUGCUCAGGAGGCUGAGGCAGGAGAAUGGCGUGAACCCGGGAUGCGGAGCUUGCGGUGAGCCAAGAUCGCACCACUGCACUCCAGCCUGGGUGACAGAGCGAGACUGCAUCUCAAAAAAAAAAACAAAAAACGAAACAAAACAAAAGACUCACUUGUGAUCUCCUUGUGUAGCUACCUUCACACCCUCCCUCCUGAAACGCUAAUCCCGGUAACCACUCACCUGUACUCCCUCACUAUAAUUAUGUUAUUUCAUGAGUGUUAUAUAAAUGUAAUCAUACACUUUGUAUCCUUUUGAGAUGGGCUUUUUUCACUCAUAAUUUUCUUGACUUUUCUUUCAAAUUGCUGCAUGUUGUCAGUAGUUUGUUCCUUUUUAUUGUUGAAUUGUUUUACAUGGUAUGUAUGUACCACAGUGUACUUAAUCAAACUCAUGCAUUGAAAGACAUUGAACAGUUUCCAUGUUUUGGAUAUUAUGAAUAAAGCUCCUGUGAAGGUUCA
rnacentral:lncRNA from 1 species